AGCGGGGUGGAGCAGCCUGGAGUGCUCGCAGACAACGUGCUUCUUGCACGCUGGCUAAAGGCUCAUAACCCUGAGGUCGCACGUUCAAAUCGUGCCCCCGCUACCA
rnacentral:tRNA from 1 species